rnacentral:rRNA from 1 species
CCUACGGGAGCAGCAGUGGGGAAUUUUGGACAAUGGGCGCAAGCCUGAUCCAGCAAUGCCGCGUGCAGGAUGAAGGCCUUCGGGUUGUAAACUGCUUUUGUACGGAACGAAAAAGUCUGCCCUAAUACGGUGGGCCCAUGACGGUACCGUAAGAAUAAGCACCGGCUAACUACGUGCCAGCAGCCGCGGUAAUACGUAGGGUGCGAGCGUUAAUCGGAAUUACUGGGCGUAAAGCGUGCGCAGGCGGUUAUAUAAGACAGAUGUGAAAUCCCCGGGCUCAACCUGGGACCUGCAUUUGUGACUGUAUAGCUAGAGUACGGUAGAGGGGGAUGGAAUUCCGCGUGUAGCAGUGAAAUGCGUAGAUAUGCGGAGGAACACCGAUGGCGAAGGCAAUCCCCUGGACCUGUACUGACGCUCAUGCACGAAAGCGUGGGGAGCAAACAGGAUUAGAUACCCUGGUAGUCCACGCCCUAAACGAUGUCAACUGGUUGUUGGGUCUUCACUGACUCAGUAACGAAGCUAACGCGUGAAGUUGACCGCCUGGGGAGUACGGCCGCAAGGUUGAAACGUCAAAUGAAAUUGACGG